CUUCCUUACUAGAGAUAGGAACAGAAGCUCUCUUACAGGCAGAACAGAAGAAAAAAAUAGGGUAAAUCCUGUUCUUAGUGAACACUUCAAGUCCCACAGUACCACUAGCAUGGCUGGGGGGGGAGCAUGCAUUUGUUUUGCCACGCCCUGGAAAGCAGGAUGGGAAAUGAAAUCUCCUGUCUCAUGGUACAGCUAUUAUAAGCACAGGCUCUGAUGAGCUCUUACCACAAACACAGCAGGAAAGAGAAGAGAAAAUGAGUAACGGUGGCUUUACAAGAGUUUAUAUAUAUAAACUACCUCUCUCUAACAGAUGUAUUACACUUAUGUAUUUACAUUUUAUAUAAUAUUUCUCCGCUCGUUCUUAGGAUAAGUAGUCAUCCUCCCCAAAACACCAACAGAUUAAAUCCAACCACUAGAUCAAAACCGCAGGAGCUUGGCAGAGCUAGUUUUCUGACAUCUUCCUGUGCUUUUACUCUGAUGAGAAGAGUACCUGAGAAGAGCACAUUUCAGGCUUCUGUGGUCAACGGGAGCUCCCACAGAGAUGGAUGUAAUCUCAAACUAUGAAGCUGCCUUGGGGAACACUGGACAACGCUUAGCAUGAAGCUGAGGGGAGGCUGCAAGCAGCAAGUCAUGGAAGACAGGAACCCAGAUCUGCUUUAGACCACGAAUGAACUUAUGUAGAAGGUUUCCAAGGAAAAGAGUCAGAUGUCUGCAGAAAGCAAUUACCUGUCAGGUUGUUGGGAACACAGGCUACUCCACGGGUGCAUGUUGCACAAGGAAAGCAACUAGCAUCUGUCUGCUGAAACCGCCAGGGCCAGCCAGCUGAUGUUGCUUUGUUUAUUUUGACCUGGCAAGGGAAGAACAGUAGCAGUUUCCACAAUUAAAAUGGCUGUCCUACUGCUGGGAGCAGUGUGGUGGUCUCUCUAUUGCCUAUACUUAAGUUUACCUCAAAAUAAGAAUUAGAUGGCUUUCAGCCCUGGCUUGAACAUGAGCUGUAGGACAAAACAGUUCUACUAACUCUGACUCACAGCCUACGGUGUGCAAAGACGACAUUCUGUCAAUGCAGACUUUUCUAUUUUUCUAAACUUGCCCCAGGGGCAAAAUAGCUAUGUGAUGUAAACAAGCAAUUAAAACCAAAUACUGUAACUCCAGACUAUUCCUCCCUUUCAUUAUCUCAUGCAUUUGACAGCUUUGAAAAUGAAAAUCCUAAAAAUUUGAAAUUCAAUGUCUUUGAAGUGCACUUGUUUUU